UACGGGGGGGGUAAGCGUUGUUCGGAAUUACUGGGCGUAAAGAGCGUGUAGGCGGCCAGACAAGUCUGCUGUGAAAACUCGAGGCUCAACCUCGAGCUGUCGGUGGAAACUGUCUGGCUAGAGUCCGGAAGAGGAGAGUGGAAUUCCUGGUGUAGCGGUGAAAUGCGCAGAUAUCAGGAAGAACACCUAUGGCGAAGGCAGCUCUCUGGGACGGUACUGACGCUGAGACGCGAAAGCGUGGGGAGCGAACAGG
rnacentral:rRNA from 1 species